GUGACCUCAAAUCAGGUAGGACUACCCGCUGAACUUAAGCAUAUCAAUAAGCGGAGGAAAAGAAACUAACAAGGAUUCCCCUAGUAACUGCGAGUGAAGCGGGACAAGCUCAAAUUUAAAAUCUGUCAGCCUUUGGCUGUCCGAGUUGUAAUCUAGAGAAGUGUAAUCCGCGCUGGACCGUGUGCAAGUCUCCUGGAAUGGAGCGUCAUAGAGGGUGAGAAUCCCGUCUUUG
rnacentral:rRNA from 1 species